ACGGGAGAAACUGACCAGAUGGUCGCCAAACACGCAUGGCAACCGGUUAGGGCCGAAGGAGCAACCGCCCCGGAAACUCUCAGGCGAAAGGACCGUGAUA
rnacentral:ncRNA from 1 species